rnacentral:snRNA from 1 species
AGCUUUGCACAGUGGCAGUAUCGUAGCCAAUGAGGUUUAUUCGAGGCACGAUUAUUGCUAAUAGAAAAAAAUAAGGGGAUUUUGUGUGUUGGUGGGGGUGGAGAGGAUGGGCAAACAGUAGGGGUGGUGGAGAGACUGUUAUUUUCUCCAGGGCAGUUGGUGAAGGCCUUUAUGGAAAGG